UACGGUGGGUGCGAGCGUUGUUCGGAAUUACUGGGCGUAAAGGGGGCGUAGGCGGUUUGUUAAGUCAAAUGUGAAAGUCCACGGCUUAACUGUGGAAGUGGAUUUGCGACUGGCAGGCUAGAGUUUCGGAAGGGAAAGUGGAAUUCCUGGUGUAGGAGUGAAGUCCGUAGAUAUCAGGAGGAAUACCGGUGGCGAAGGCGACUUUCUGGACGAAUACUGACGCUGAGGCCCGAAAGCGUGGGGAGCAAACAGG
rnacentral:rRNA from 1 species